CUGAUAGUGUUUCUGAUUCUAUAUGGAGUUCUACUACUGGGCUACCUAAAUGUAAGGACAUUCCAUAACAUUGAAUACUAUUUGUUUGGAUGGGUGCUUGUUAACAUAUUGGAAGAAAUAUUUGAGGCAAAAUCUUCCAUGAAAAAGUAUUUUCAUAGCGGUUGGAAUAUCGUAGAUGUAACUGCAUUGGCCUCAUUUGUUGUUGGUUUAAUUUUGAGACUAGUUGCUUUCUUUCUGGAGACAGAUUUAGUUUUGGGAGCAGCUCGAAUCGUUUUCAGCCUUAAUUAUUUUCUUUUUUCGAUGCGGCUCCUUCAUCUUUGCUACAGCAGCUCAAGACUGGGACCAAAGUUCAUUAUGAUUUUAAAAGC